rnacentral:ncRNA from 1 species
GAAAAAGCUGUGACAAGAUGAGUAAGCUAAUUCUCGUGCUUAGAGAGUCGUAUUUUUGGUGCAAAACGAUGACGUGGUUAGUUGAAGAUGGUCUUGAAGAAGCUACUGGGGCCAUCUCAGUCGGAGCGAUCCGUUACGAUCAUGAUAAGUCCCUGUGGGAAAAUCUCGGUGGUAACACGCAAACGCGUCCUAGAA